UACGGGGGGGGGCAAGCGUUAUUCGGAAUUAUUGGGCGUAAAGGGCGCGUAGGCGGCUUGGCAAGUGGAUGGUGAAAUCCCUCGGCUUAACCGAGGAACUGCCAUCCAGACUGCUUUGCUUGAGGCCGGGAGAGGUGAGUGGAAUUCCCGGUGUAGCGGUGAAAUGCGCAGAUAUCGGGAAGAACACCCGUGGCUAAGGCGGCUCUCUAGUACGGUACUGACGCUGAGACGCGAAAGCGUGGGGAGCGAACAGG
rnacentral:rRNA from 1 species